rnacentral:rRNA from 1 species
AUUGAACGCUGGCGGCAUGCCUUACACAUGCAAGUCGAACGGUAACAGGUCUUCGGACGCUGACGAGUGGCGAACGGGUGAGUAAUACAUCGGAACGUGCCCAGUCGUGGGGGAUAACUACUCGAAAGAGUAGCUAAUACCGCAUACGAUCUGAGGAUGAAAGCGGGGGACCUUCGGGCCUCGCGCGAUUGGAGCGGCCGAUGGCAGAUUAGGUAGUGGGUGGGAUAAAAGCGUACCAAGCCGACGAUCUGUAGCUGGUCUGAGAGGACGACCAGCCACACUGGGACUGAGACACGGCCCAGACUCCUACGGGAGGCAGCAGUGGGGAAUUUUGGACAAUGGGCGAAAGCCUGAUCCAGCAAUGCCGCGUGCAGGAUGAAGGCCUUCGGGUUGUAAACUGCUUUUGUACGGAACGAAAAAGCUCCUUCUAAUACAGGGGGCCCAUGACGGUACCGUAAGAAUAAGCACCGGCUAACUACGUGCCAGCAGCCGCCGUAA